AUUGAACGCUGGCGGCAGGCUUAACACAUGCAAGUCGAGCGGGGAAGGGUAGCUUGCUACCUAACCUAGCGGCGGACGGGUGAGUAAUGCUUAGGAAUCUGCCAUUUAGUGGGGGACAACAUUCCGAAAGGAAUGCUAAUACCGCAUACGUCCUACGGGAGAAAGCAGGGGAUCUUCGGACCUUGCGCUAAAUGAUGAGCCUAAGUCGGAUUAGCUAGUUGGUGGGGUAAAGGCCUACCAAGGCGACGAUCUGUAGCGGGUCUGAGAGGAUGAUCCGCCACACUGGGACUGAGACACGGCCCAGACUCCUACGGGAGGCAGCAGUGGGGAAUAUUGGACAAUGGGCGGAAGCCUGAUCCAGCCAUGCCGCCUGUGUGAAGAAGGCCUUAUGGUUGUAAAGCACUUUAAGCGAGGAGGAGGCUACUUAGAUUAAUACUCUAGGAUAGUGGACGUUACUCGCAGAAUAAGCACCGGCUAACUCUGUGCCAGCAGCCGCCGUAAAAC
rnacentral:rRNA from 1 species